CUUCCUACAUGUUGUCAUCCCUAUAACCUGUCUGCUACUUCCCAGGGCACUUUGCAGAGCCUAGGCCAAGGUCGUCUUUGGUUGGCUGGCAUGUCAGUUGGGAGCUUGUCCCACUGAUGUAGUUGCAUGAGCUGGGGUUGAAGCUGAAGAUACCACUUUAAUUUAGUAGCUGUUUUGUGAUGACUGCUUAACUCGGGCUCAGUUUUUAAGCUGCUACUCAGCUAAUUCUCCAGGAGAGAGGCUGUUCUGAUCUGAUGGAACCAGGUUUUGCCUGGCAUCUUGCUUUGCACCUCAGAAGGUCCAACUGCUGUAAAAGGUCUUCUCUGGUGGUGGUGAUAAUCUUGCCCUUUUACACACCAGUAUGAAGCACAAGCACUAGACUGUGGACUUCAACCCCUUCUUCCACUUGCACCUGCACACCAGGGUGAGCUAAGAACCACGUUGGAGGGGAUGGGGGGGACUGUAUGUGACUGCUCACAGGAGCCUCUGAUUACAUUCUGCCAUCCAGCAGAAAGGGAUAAUUGGGGUAACUCCCUUCUACUGCAUCCCAGCAGCGUCGGCACACAAAUAUCUCUGACAAGCACAUUUUGCCUUUUAGGAAUGAGCCAGGUAUCAUCAAGUGUAGGGGAAGCAAGACUUUUCCAGGGAGAGGCGGGACACCUCUGGGCCUCUCACCAUCGCCUCUCACUUCCAGUGGCCCAGGUUCAGCAGCAGGCUGUUCUGUCAGGAUAGUCAGUAUGUAUUUCAGGAGCCAAUUAUAGACAUAUAUUGUUUUAUUUGUUGUUGUUAUGCAGCUUCCAGGAGAACACAAACCUCACACCACUUCGAGCAGUGCCAGCCACGUUGCUGCUACUGCUUUUUGAAGAGCAUGUUUCUGAUGGGGGUGAUAAAGUGGGGUAAUACCCCUGGGCCAUGCAAGCCUUCCUGUGAUGGUGUUGAUGCUCUUUCUGAAGUGUGCUCAUCUGGAAUAAUGUUUCAAGGAAGUCUGUACAAUUAUCUUUGCCAAUGCUGGGGGGCAGUUAACACUGUCUGCUGUUAGGUACCCACUAAGAGACUGGCUCAGCUCCGAGCCACAAAUUCUCUGAAUCUUUUAUAGGGAAGAAAAGAGGGUGUAAUUCAGAGCAGCAAAGUAGCUAGGCCAUGUCUCUGAAACCUGCACCCAUCAUUCACUGCAGAGGAAGCCCAGGGAGUCUUAACUGCCUCCAGCCUUAGACAUCAGCGUUGAGUACCUGAAGUUAGGUAUGGUAAACCAUGCAAAAAAAAAAAAAAAAAAAAAAAAAAAGGCAAGGCGAUGCUUGGCACCUUUUAGCAGCAUCCAUUUCACUGUGAUUGUGUCUCUUGAGCCACUGUGGUGAGAGUGUGCACCCCUUGGCUUAGGUGAGUGCGUGGGUACUGGUGAGUGUUGGGGUGCUGUGGAGAUGUAAUUGUGCUUUCACAUGGAAUUUGGACCACACUGGUGCCUAAGUGACUUUCCAGACACCAGGCAAGAACUCCACUUUGUGCUGAAUGGUGCUAGAAGAAAUAGAUGGUUGAUGAUACAUUGCAGUGAAGCCUUGGAUCCAGCUGCUUUCAGAGGAAAAGAGGGCAGAGGAAAGCUUGUCUGCCUGGGCUGAACUAAGCAGCUUUCUCUGUCCUUGCCUGUCUGUGGAGCCAGGAGUGCAAGUUUACAACAUCAGGGCAGCAAGAGACUGAGAGAAGGGGAUGGAAAAUGCUGUUGAAAUGGUUGUCAAGGUUGUGAGCCAAGGUCAGGCUGUGCCAAAGAACAGGCCAGGCUUUGAGGAUGUGCCAGAUACAGCAGCAGAGAUAGCUCUGGAAGAAGACCCAAGAUGAGACACCUGCCCUCUAGAGGAGUGACCCCUGCAACCCUGAGGUCACUGCUGAGCUGAGCAGAAGAGGGAGCACCUAUGUAGGAAUAGGAGGACCUGAGCUGUAACCAGUCCUUGGAGCACUGGUCGCCGGUGCUGCUCCUGGAGCAUUCCAGGAGCAAAAGCAAGUGUUUGGGCCAGAGGGCUGCCUUGCAGCAGACUACAUAAUUCCUAGCAGAAAUACAGCUGCAGGAGCAGAAGUAUCAUAGCACUUAGCUUGAGAAGAUGCUAUUGCGUAUAGAGGCAAAGGUGGCUGUUGUGUUCUUAGAUGGUCUUUUUACCAAUGCCAUAGAGACCUUCCCCUUCGCUCUGCCAGGGCUGUGUCGUAGGGUGGCAGCAGCUUAUGUGGUCCUUAUCAGUAUUCCCAAAGGCUGCAUCACUGCCAGCCUUCCAGCGAGACUGUGAUGAUAGUCUGUAAGGCUGUACACCGUAAGGUAUGUUGGACUGGCAGUAGUUUGUAGCUGGGACUUUGCUUUUUUUUUUUUUUGUGCUCAAUAAAGGCAACUUACACCAUU